UGCCCAAGAGAUCGGGAUAACACCUGGAAACAGAUGCUAAUACCGGAUAACAACAGAUGAUGCCUAUCAACUGUUUAAAAGAUGGUUCUGCUAUCACUCUUGGAUGGGCCUGCGGUGCAUUAGCUAGUUGGUAGGGUAACGGCCUACCAAGGCGAUGAUGCAUAGCCGAGUUGAGAGACUGAUCGGCCACAUUGGGACUGAGACACGGCCCAAACUCCUACGGGAGGCAGCAGCA
rnacentral:rRNA from 1 species